CCUACGGGAGGCAGCAGUGAGGAAUAUUGGUCAAUGGGCGCGAGCCUGAACCAGCCAAGUAGCGUGAAGGAUGACUGCCCUACGGGUUGUAAACUUCUUUUAUAAAGGAAUAAAGUGAGGCACGUGUGCCUUUUUGUAUGUACUUUAUGUAUAAGGAUCGGCUAACUCCGUGCCAGCAGCCGCGGUAAUACGGAGGAGCCGAGCGUUAUCCGGAUUUAUUGGGUUUAAAGGGAGCGUAGAUGGGUUGUUAAGUCAGUUGUGAAAGUUUGCGGCUCAACCGUAAAAUUGCAAUUGAUACUGGCAGCCUUGAGUACAGUUGAGGUAGGCGGAAUGCGAGGUGUAGCGGUGAAAUGCUUAGAUAUCACGAAGAACACCGAUUGCGAAGGCAGCUUACUAAGCCAUAACUGACACUGAAGCACGAAAGCGUGGGGAGCAAACAGGAUUAGAUACCCCUGUAGUC
rnacentral:rRNA from 1 species